ensembl:ncRNA C48C5.8 ncRNA
UCCGUUUUAAGUCACAACGGAUCAUAGAGAUAACAAAAUUGCGGAAAUUUGUGAGAAUACAUGUUGGGGAGAACGUACAGGAGACAGAGAACGCUAGAAAAAAGCACUGGGGCGCGUGAAUUAUGAAAAAGGGACAACAUG